rnacentral:rRNA from 1 species
CCUACGGGAGGCAGCAGUGUGGAAUAUUGGACAAUGGCCGAAAGGCUGACGCAGCGACGCCGCGUGAAGGAUGAAGUCCGUUAGGAUGUAAACUUCUUUUGCGGGGGAUGAAUUGUCCGUUCUUCGGACGGUGACCGUACCCCGCGAAUAAGGAUCGGCCAACUACGUG